CUCCACAGGGGAUGCUUGUGACUCCAACCCAUGCAAAAAUGGUGGCAUCUGUCUGUCAGGGCUGAAUGAUGACUUCUACUCAUGCGAGUGUCCUGAAGGCUUUUCAGACCCCAAUUGUUCUAAUGUUGUGGAGGUUGCCUCCAUUGAAGAGGAACCAACUUCAGCAGGACCCUGCCUUCCUAAUCCAUGUCAUAAUGGUGGAAUCUGUGAAAUUAGUGAAGCAUACCGAGGCGACACAUUCAUAGGAUAUGUCUGUAAAUGUCCACAGGGAUUUAAUGGGAUUCACUGCCAGCACAAUAUAAAUGAAUGUGAAGCUGAACCAUGCAAGAAUGGUGGAAUUUGUACAGAUCUCGUUGCCAACUAUUCCUGUGAAUGUCCAGGUGAAUUUAUGGGAAGAAACUGCCAACAAAG